UACAGAGGUCUCAAGCGUUGUUCGGAUUCAUUGGGCGUAAAGGGCGCGUAGGCGGCUUUGUAAGUCGGGGGUGAAAGCCUGUGGCUCAACCACAGAAUUGCCUUCGAUACUGCAUGGCUUGAGACCGGAAGAGGUAAGUGGAACUGCGAGUGUAGAGGUGAAAUUCGUAGAUAUUCGCAAGAACACCAGUGGCGAAGGCGGCUUACUGGUCCGGUUCUGACGCUGAGGCGCGAAAGCGUGGGGAGCAAACAGG
rnacentral:rRNA from 1 species